GACGAACGCUGGCGGCGUGCCUAACACAUGCAAGUCGAGCGAAUGAAGUUCCUUCGGGAAUGGAUUUAGCGGCGGACGGGUGAGUAACACGUGGGCAACCUGCCUCAUAGAGGGGAAUAGCCUUCCGAAAGGGAGAUUAAUACCGCAUAAGAUUGUAGUAUCGCAUGAUACAGCAAUUAAAGGAGCAAUCCGCUAUGAGAUGGGCCCGCGGCGCAUUAGCUAGUUGGUGAGGUAACGGCUCACCAAGGCGACGAUGCGGAGCCGACCGGGGAGGGUGAUCGGCCACAUUGGGACUGCGACACGGCCCAGACUCCUACGGGAGGCAGCAGUGGGGAAUAUUGCACAAGGGGGGAAAACCUGAUGCAGCAACGCCGCGUGAGUGAUGACGGCCUUCGGGUUGUAAAGCUCUGUCUUCAGGGACGAUAAUGACGGUACCUGAGGAGGAAGCCACGGCUAACUACGUG
rnacentral:rRNA from 1 species